UACGUAGGGUGCAAGCGUUAAUCGGAAUUACUGGGCGUAAAGCGUGCGCAGGCGGUUCGCUAAGACAGAUGUGAAAUCCCCGGGCUUAACCUGGGAACUGCAUUUGUGACUGGCGGGCUUGAGUAUGGCAGAGGGGGGGUAGAAUUCCACGUGUAGCAGUGAAAUGCGUAGAGAUGUGGAGGAAUACCGAUGGCGAAGGCAGCCCCCUGGGCCAAUACUGACGCUCAUGCACGAAAGCGUGGGGAGCAAACAGG
rnacentral:rRNA from 1 species